GACGAACGCUGGCGGCGUGCUUAACACAUGCAAGUCGAACGAACAGAGGGAAAGAGCUUGCUCUUCCGGAAUUGAGCGGAAAACGGGUGAGCAACAGGUAAACAACCCUCCUUCAGGAGGGGGACAACAGAAGGAAACGACUGAUAAUACCGAAUAAGUUCCAACAGCUGGAUGGCUCAUGGAAGAAAAGGUGGCCUCCACCUGUAAGUGAAUCCCCGCAGAGUUGGUUGCGUCUGAUUUGCCGGGUGGAGUGGGAACGGCCUUCCAAGGCGACGGUCGGGAGCCGGACUGGGAGGAGGGACAGCCACACUGGAACUGAGACACGGUCCAGACUCCUACGGGAAGCAGGAGUGAGGAAUCUUCCGCAAUGGGCGGAAACCUGACCGAGCAACGCCGCGGUAGGGAUGACGGCCUUCGGGUUGUAAAACUCUGUGAUCCGGGGCGAAAAGACAGAGUGCGAAGAACAAACCGCAUUGACGGUACCGGAUAAGAAAGCCACGGCUAACUACGUG
rnacentral:rRNA from 1 species